rnacentral:rRNA from 1 species
CCCRURAAUGUAAUACGACUCACUAUAGGGCGAAUUGGGCCCCGACGUCGCAUGCUCCCGGCCGCCAUGGCGGCCGCGGGAAUUCGAUUAGAGUUUGAUCCUGGCUCAGAACGAACGCUGGCGGCGUGCUUAACACAUGCAAGUCGAGCGAGAAAGGGGGGGCAACCCCCUGAGUAGAGCGGCGCACGGGUGAGUAACGCGUGGGUAACCUACCCCCAGGCGGGGGAUAACUACUCGAAAGGGUGGCUAAUACCGCAUGAGACCACGGGAUCUUCGGAUCCUGAGGCUAAAGAUCGCACCGGCUUGCCGGUGCUGUCACCAGGGGAUGGGCCCGCGUCCGAUUAGCUAGUUGGCGAGGUAAUGGCUCACCAAGGCUUCGAUCGGUAGCUGGUCUGAGAGGAUGAUCAGCCACACUGGAACUGAAACACGGUCCAGACUCCUACGGGAGGCAGCAGUGAGGAAUAUUGCGCAAUGGGGGAAACCCUGACGCAGCAACGCCGCGUGGGUGAAGAAGGCCUUCGGGUCGUAAAGCCCUUUCGGACGGGACSAACSCUCCGCGGUGMCAAGCCSCGGAGUCUGMCGGUACCGUAGGAAGAAU